UGUGGCUUAAUUCGAUGAUACGCGAGGAACCUUACCCGGGCUUGAAUUGCAGAGGAAUAUAGUUGAAAGAUUAUGGCCGCAAGGUCUCUGUGAAGGUGCUGCAUGGUUGUCGUCAGCUCGUGCCGUGAGGUGUCGGCUUAAGUGCCAUAACGAGCGCAACCCUUAUCAUUAGUUACUAACAGGUCAUGCUGAGGACUCUAGUGAGACUGCCGUCGUAAGAUGUGAGGAAGGUGGGGAUGACGUCAAAUCAGCACGGCCCUUACGUCCGGGGCUACACACGUGUUACAAUGGGGGGUACAGAGGGCAGCUACCGGGCGACCGGAUGCCAAUCCCAAAAACCUCUCUCAGUUCGGAUCGAAGUCUGCAACCCGACUUCGUGAAGCUGGAUUCGCUAGUAAUCGCGCGUCAGCCACGGCGCGGUGAAUACGUUCCCGGGCCUU
rnacentral:rRNA from 1 species